CCUAGAGAGAAGAUAGAGAGAGAGAGAGUGGCGUGCUAGAGAGAAGGGGCUGCCAUUUCUAGAGAGAAGGAGGAGAAGAAAGAAAGGAAGAAAAAGAAGAAAAAGAAGAAGAAGAAGAAGAAGGGUUCAAGCUAGGGGUUUGAGCAAGGAGGUGCUUCUAGAUUGGAUUCUUGAUUUCUAUCAAGAGAGGUAGCAAAUAGGUUUCUCCAUGGCACGCGUGGUGAUGUGGGAAGUUCUAUCGUCCUGGUGUGUAUGGCGUGGGGCAUCCUAUGGAUGAAAAACGAUCACUUAAAGAUGCCAUUUUAAUAAUGUUAUGUUUUAUGAGACUUUUUAAACUUAUCAGUGGGACUUAAAUUAUUGGUUGUUUUUUUUUUGAACUUUGCAUAAAAACUCAUAUUUUCUUUUAAAACUAUUGG